rnacentral:rRNA from 1 species
UACGAAGGGGGCGAGCGUUGUUCGGAAUUACUGGGCGUAAAGGGCGCGUAGGCGGCGACCCAAGUCAGAUGUGAAAGUCCUGGGCUUAACCUGGGGACUGCAUUUGAUACUGGGUUGCUUGAAUUCGGGAGAGGAUAGCGGAAUGCCCAGUGUAGAGGUGAAAUUCGUAGAUAUUGGGAAGAACACCAGUGGCGAAGGCGGCUAUCUGGACCGACAUUGACGCUGAGGCGCGAAAGCGUGGGGAGCAAACAGG